GAUUGUUUGAUCCUGGCUCAGAAUGAACGUUGGCGGCGUGCCUAACACAUGCAAGUCGAGCGUGAAAGUCAUUCGGGAUGAGUAAAGCGGCAGACGGGUGAGUAACGCGUGAGAAUUUUCCUUUCAGUGAAGAAUACCUUUGGGAAACUAAAGUUAAUACUGCAUACGUCUCGAAAGAGAGAAAGAUGGCCUAAUUGCUGUCGCUGAAAGAUAAGCUUGCGUUCUAUUAGUUAGUUGGUGAGGUAAUUGCUCACCAAGGCGAUGAUGGAUAGCCGGCCUGAGAGGGCGAACGGCCACAUUGGAACUUAGACACGGUCCAAACUCCUACGGGAGGCAGCAGUGAGGAAUAUUGCACAAUGGGCGAAAGCCUGAUGCAGCGACGCCGCGUGGAGGAUGACGGUCUUCGGAUUGUAAACUCCUGUUAAGUGUGAAAAAAGACUUGUUUUUAAUAGAAACAAGGGAUGAUGGUAGCGCUAGAGAAAGCACCGGCUAACUUCGUGCCAGCAGCCGCGGUAAUACGAGGGGUGCAAACGUUAUUUGGAAUCACUGGGCGUAAAGGGUGCGUAGACGGCGAAUCAAGUCAAUUAUUAAAUCUCCUGGCUUAACCAGGAAUCUGUAGUUGAGACUGAUUUGCUUGAGGAUGGAAGAGAGAAGUGGAAUUCUCGGAGUAGCGGUAAAAUGCGUAGAUCUCGAGAGGAACACCGAUGGCGAAGGCAGCCUCUUGGUCCAUUUCUGACGUUGAGGCACGAAAGCGUGGGGAGCAAACAGGAUUAGAUACCCUGGUAGUCCACGCUGUAAACGAUGAUUACUAGAUGUUAGGUCCGCUUUAGGGCUUAGUAUCGCAGCUAACGCAUUAAGUAUCCG
rnacentral:rRNA from 1 species